UUUCCCCCAAAUCCUCUGUUCCCUCUCUCAAAAGUCAAAAACCCCUCUUCUAUCCUUGCAUAAGAUGGAGUGUUACCGUAGUCUCUCUUCCCACCUCUGUAUCUUUAACAAUCCAUCAGGUUCUUUUUCUCUCUGCUAGACUUCAUGCAUUUUCCGUGCAAACCAGUGAAGAUGCUUGUAUAAGCAAGAAGAACUAUGGAAAUGAAAGACACAAAAGAGCUUUUAGAAAAACAAUAUUAGGAGACAUUCGGUAAAAAGGAUCAGAUCUACCCUAAAACUAUGGAUUCUUCUCAAAAUUAUUGGGAGUGUUCGAUAUGUGCUAUCAAUGAAAGGUUUAUUUCAUAGGUAUCAGAUGCAGGCACAAAUAAGAUUGACUAAAAAUAAAAGGAAGUUUGUGCAAAGAUGAGGUGAAAGACCCCGAUGAUGAAGUAUGCAAACAAAAUCUUGUAAAGAUGAAACGAAUACAUCAAGAACCCUGAAAUGAUGGAUGGUCUUGAAGACUCACAUAACCAAACAUCAAGAGUGAAUCAGUGGAGAGACACUAAGGACGUGAGUAUGUUUUUGGUAAUAACAGGACAUUAACAAGGAAUAUAUGGUGUGCUUGAGCUCUACAUUUAAUUACAUCUCACAACAUAUAAGUAAGAAAUUCCUAUAUUCAGAAACUGACAAGCAUAAUAUUUCUGGAUAUAGAAAGGGUGUGCUUGGCUGAUUUGCUUGUCAUUUUUCUACUGAUUCCACCUAGUCGACAAUGAUAAAGUUCACAUUAUACCUCCAAUGUGUUCUGUUUAAUUUAUUAUCCUAAAGUUCUAUAUUGCAUAACUUGGGGGACAAAUGAAGUAAGAGUAAAAAUUACAAAGUGCUAACUUCUAAUAGUUAACUUGUUUGGCAUGAACUUGGUUGGAAAUUUGUGCCUAAUGAAGGCAGGUGCCAAACAACAGAAUUCUUCAAUUAGUAUUUUUGAUUAGUAUUACUGAUAUAGCUUCAGUAACGAAAAGAAUACUCUAUAGUAUACCUAUUUGUUGUGUGAUCUCUAUCUAAAAAUGUGGAGCCUGCGCAUAUCGUUGCUCUAUUAUUUACUUCCACAAAAUAAAACUAAAAGAAGAUCUCACUUGUGAAAUUAUAUUAGCUAUGUUAUUGCAUGUCACUAGAGGAAGUUGGUUGUUUGGAGUGUCUCCCUUUGGAGGAAGGAAAUGUCUUAUCUCUCAGUUUCUUUCCAAGUCUUUGUUGUCUACUUCUGCCUCUUUUGAUAGUAGAUGUACCGUCGUAAUCAAACGUAUCUUUGAGAUGAGGUUGAGUACGGUCUUCUUCAUUGUUCAAGUUAGAGUCGGUGAGCUCCAUGUGACUGUGACUCUGUUCAGCAGCGUCAUCAUCUGAUUGCAGCUUCUGUUUUUCACCAUGUGUAGCAACUAUGAAAUCAUCCGGAGAAGAGUCUGGUUAUUAUUGUUAUCAAAUGCUUUCUUACUGUAAGUUUGUGCAUUUUCUUCCUCAUUGUUCAACUUUGAUUUGGUAAGUACCACGCCACUGUUUUUUUCUGAUUGUAGUAUAUGUUGUUCACCUUGAGAAGUAAUCAUAUCUUCUGUCAACUCAUCUAUCAGUUGCCCUCCUUCUUGGAUUUUAGCUUCAGCACAAACAUUUUUUGAGACACUUGAAUCUUUUUUUUUUUUUGAUAAAGAUAAUGUUGACACUUAAAUCAGUGUUGACGUUAUCCUCUCUUUUUCCAUGCGGUUCCUCAUCGUGAAUAUUAGUUGUUUGGUCAGUAUAGACAGGGGCUGUUUUUCCUCUUUGUUUCUGGCACUUUUUUCUCAAUUUGCUUCUACCUCUAUCGGGAGAAAUACCAUAUCGGUUAAUUACUUCCUAAGGUAAGAUUGUGCAUGUACAUUUUCUUCGUCUACAUCUGAUGUGAUAAGCCUAUUGUUCCUAUGACUUUGUCCAGUGGUUUCCUCAUCAGAUAGUAUGAUUUUCUCAUCUUCAUAUGUUAUAGGUAUAUCUUCAUUCAGCUCAACAUAUAAUUGGAUACCUUUUUGGUUUUUGAUCUCUGUAGGCAAGCUUUUAGAAACUUCCUGGUCAGAUAGAAUGUUCUCUCCUCUACAUCAUCAUAAUGUUCUUGAUCUUCAUUUAUCUUGCUGGCUUGUUGAUCAACAUCCUUAGAGUUGGCCUCAUUCAGAAUGGCAUUGUCUUGUUGUGCAUAGUCUACAGUGUCAUCCUUCAACCUGUUAUUCCGUCUUUGUUCAUAUUCAAUAUGUUGGUUUAUGCUCGUUUCUUCUUCUGGAGUAGCUCUCUCAGGAUUUUUCCUUUUGGAGUUUUUGUUGGCAGUUUCUAUUGGCAUAGGAGGUUUGAAAGUGACCUUGCCUUUCUUUUUAGGCAAUUUUUCUCUUUCUUAUUUUUCUUCUUCUUUUUGCCGAUUCUAGCAGUCACAGUAGAUUUCUCAUCUUCUUUUUUUUGGUGCUCACUUAUAUACUCUGAUGAAGUGUUACUUGUUCUGCUUCAAUAUUGUUUCCACUUGCAUUUUGUUUCUCAAUGUGCUCCUCAUCCUUUUCAUUAUUAGUUUCCUCCUUUUAGCUUCCCACUUUUAAUAAUAUAUGAUAUAUGAUAGCUUUCCACUUUUAAUAAUAUAUGAUGAUGUAUGUAAUCAAAUCUUAUAUUUUUUUCUAUUACACAGGUUGUGGAAGGUGGAAGUCAAGAUUAGCUGCUAAAGUAAUGCAUCUACAAUGGUAUUUUGAGAAGCAAUCUCCAUUUUAUUGUCUUAGUUUUGUUAAUGUUUAGUAUAUCUCUCUUAGACUUUUAAGUUGGAUAAAUUUUACCUAAUUAUAUAAUGAGAUAUCAUCUCAUUAAUGUCAUUUGUAUUGCUCUUAAUUAUUAUAUGAAAGUGUGUAAUUUUUUUUA